UACGUAGGGUGUGAGCGUUGUCCGGAAUUAUUGGGCGUAAAGGGCUCGUAGGCGGUUUGUCGCGUCGGGAGUGAAAUCCACUGGCUUAACUGGUGGCUUGCUUUCGAUACGGGCAGACUGGAGGUAUGCAGGGGGAGAACGGAAUUCCUGGUGUAGCGGUGAAAUGCGCAGAUAUCAGGAGGAACACCGGUGGCGAAGGCGGUUCUCUGGGCAUGUCCUGACGCUGAGGAGCGAAAGUGUGGGGAGCGAACAGG
rnacentral:rRNA from 1 species